rnacentral:rRNA from 1 species
UACGUAGGGCGCAAGCGUUAUCCGGAAUUAUUGGGCGUAAAGAGCUCGUAGGCGGUUUGUCGCGUCUGCCGUGAAAGUCCGGGGCUCAACUCCGGAUCUGCGGUGGGUACGGGCAGACUAGAGUGAUGUAGGGGAGACUGGAAUUCCUGGUGUAGCGGUGAAAUGCGCAGAUAUCAGGAGGAACACCGAUGGCGAAGGCAGGUCUCUGGGCGUUAACUGACGCUGAGGAGCGAAAGCCAGGGGAGCAAACGGG